GAUCUGCUUUAAGUCUUGGUAAAGCCAGAGACAGUUAACAGUCAGACUGCAUCUCAGCCCUGUCAAGAUGGAUCUCCAUAAUAGGUGAUGGAUAGUUUUAUUUGGGAGACAUAUUAACUUAUACCAUUCGGAAUUUUUUUAGAUUGGUUUGCCAGUUUGUAACCCAUCAAGUUGAGGCCAAUAGAUAUGCAUUCACAGCCCUGUAUCCAUCAAAUAAUCAACUUUAUGUGUGACUUUGGGAUGGAUUCAUACAAUCACAUUUCCUUUCUCAAGAAAGGUUGGAAGGUAGGUAAUUUGAAUGGCUAAUGCUCUCUGCUCCCUGCUGUCAGGAUGCUGUCCGUGGCUCCCGGCUGGUUGCCCAGAAGAGUAUAAAGGCAAGGAAAAGUUUCAUACAGUCUUUUUUUAUUUAAAACUUUACAGAGAGAGGCUAUAGAACCCAGCCUCUUGGAUAAUGGUGUUGUCCUGAGUGAAUCUCCACCACCUGUCUCUCCCACUUCUUCAUUCGUCAACCUCAUCACCUCAUCUACAAGUGCCACUAAGUGCCCUCUGUCUUUGAGCUCUUUGCUCUCCUACUUUUAAGGCUUGCCAGGUUCUGGGAGAUGGUGGGUCUGGAAGGCUCUCCCAUGAUUUCCCAACUUUCCCCCUCAUCUGCCUCUGAGCUGCAACCUCCCUCAAACCCCUGCUGUAAAUCUAUACUGUCUUCCUCUUCCUCCUCCCUGGAAGGGUCAGGAUGGGGAGGUGGUCUCCACCAUUCCAUUCCCGGUCACUAUGUUUUCACAGAGCUCUGUCACACAUCUUGCUAUGGUGACAGCCAUGCACUCAAGUCUACGCUAGUCUGGUGCAUUUUUCAUUGAAAACUAUGCUGCUGUAAGUAGGGACUCAUGAAUGUUCACAGUGUAUUGGGGCAGGAGAAAGUGGGAGCGGAUGUUAGAAUGAAGAGGAAGUGGGGACAGGUGUGAAGAGUGGGACGCUAGUGCUACAAUUUGAUGGGAGAAGUGUGAUCUUAGAAAUGCAUGAAGCAGCUCUCCAGGAUGUGCCAAAUAUCAGAUUGCCAUGUGGUGGGUCGUGUUCUGAAAAAAUACUCGUCACUGAAAAAGAGAGGGGAAAGUCAUCAUGAAUGAAUGGGAAAGUAAGGUCUGAGCCUGAAAACCACAAAUACAGUUAAUAACAGCCGUGGGGGGAUGGGGAAUCCAAGAUAAAAAAAUAAGAGCAGCUGCACGAUAGAUAUGGUUCCCAAUUUGUUUUUAGGAAACUCAUUAUGAAGGAACAUGGUUAAUGUUUCUUGAUUAAAAACUGGGAUAACCUUUCCACUAAGCUUAGGUGAGGCUGAGAACAGAUCUAUUUCAAAUUACGAUUUAAAAAGAACUGUUAGUGUUGGAUUGUUUGGGACACUGCCAAUCAAGUAAAUUUAUUGCUCUGGUAAGAGUGGACAUCCUUUCAUGUCUCAAGCAGCUACUAUAUAUGUAUGUGUUGCCACUGUCAAAUUUAUCAGAACCAUCUUCAUAGCAUAAGGGAUAACAUUAACAGGAGACUUUAUCUCUCAUGAGAGCUUCUGCAGACUGCAGCGAUAACAAGCAACAUGUCAAGUGCAGAUAACAUUUCCUUUUCAGGACUGCUUUAUUUUCUCUCUUGAGAUCCCCAACUUUGUAAAUCUGUUCACAGUUGCGUCCACUCAUAACAAUGUGUUUGUAUAAUCAAAGGUGACUUAAGCUCUGACCUUCAGCUAUAUAUAACACAUCACAGCAUGGGUGAAGUUUCACACUGCAUAUUCCAGUUCGACAAAAAGCCCUUUCCAUCAUUCUCCUCAUCCUGUGAGCAGGCAGAGAGGGUUCUCUGGUUCCACCCCCUCUUGUUUAUUUAUUUAUUGACUGAAUUUAUAUUGCACAUAUAUAUAAAAUAUUCAUGUUGCCUCACCACCACUACUCCUGCCGCCCUUCAUGCGUUGACAGCUGAACAUCCGCAGCAUUACUGUAUUUCUGUUGGCUCCUCACAUGAUUUCAUUCCCCAGGGUCUAAAUCACACCGGGAGUUUACAUGAGCGAAAAAGGCUCUCAACUUCAGAAGCUAUCCCUUUCACCCAUGGAAGGUAACAGGAAUUGUGACAGGAGGUACACAGGGUCUUCGAUGCAUCAUUUGAUGGAUUAGAACACCUUCAAUAGUGACAGAGAGGGGGGGGGUUGUUUUGUUUUUUAAAGGGUCUCCAGAUUCUCUAAUGUGCUGAUUUUUAAAUGUAUAAACACAAGGAGACGCUUGCCAGUAGGGUAACCAAGAAGGAAAAUAGGCAGGCAAUAUUCUACCCAAUCAAAGUGUGAUGAAGCCUAAAUGGUUUAAUUAUUAGCAUGUGUGGCAGGGGAGCUACUAAAUCGAUGUCUGAGGUCAGUAAUGACCUGGAUGAGGGUCAAUGAAAUGAAACUCUGUCUAAAUAAAUUGACAGGUUCUGUUGGUAGGUGAUUUGUGUGACCAAUGAGAUGGUGUUAGUCUAUUGUAGAUCACUCCCUCUAAAGGACCAGGUUCAGCAUCUGGGGUGAUGACAGAGCCAACAUUUUCACUGGAUAUCCAAGCGGCGUCUGUGGUAUGUAAUACCUUUCAGCAGCUAAGACUGUUGGACCAGCUGUGCCUUCUUAUUCACAUUCUGGUGAUUCCUAAGAUGACUGCUGCCAUGCCUUGCAUGUGGGACUACCCUUGAAGACUUCUUGGAGGCUUCCAUUAGCACAAAAUGCACCUGCCAGGCUGGAGACUGGCAAUGGCGAACAUAUUUUCCCAGUGCUUAAACAACAACACUGCCAUUCCUCUUUCAGGAAUAAUUCAGACUGCAGGUCAUAGGGCUAAAUGGCUAUUUGAAGGAUGCUUUUUACUAUAUAAACACACCUGGUUCCAUCUCUGCCCUGCUUGUCAUCUGGAUUUAGGCAGCAGCGCACAUGGGAUAUGCCCAGAGGAUGGAUAACUGCGACCACAGGGGCUAUUAAUAUAGGAGAGAAUCUAGAAGGAAUGUGGUUGUAUAUUCUAGCCAAUGUAAGUUUGGACUCAUGGGGUAUAAAAUGUACCACAAAACUUAUCACUUAUACAAUCUUUUUAGACUUCCAUCAGCACCUCUGAUGAUCCGCCGUUUUAACCACUUCUUAUGCAUUUCUUAACUUUAUAUUGCCUUUACAUCUCUUAACAAAUCAUCCUCCCCCUUGUCCAUUUUUACAAUACUUCUAAUAAUACUCCUCACAAAACUUCUUGCAACCCUACAAACGUUGUCUGUUCUUCACAAUUACUUUUCAAAUAGUCCGUAAAUUUACUCCAGUCUUCCGUGAAUUUCUGGUCUCGCCGGUUUCGAAUCCUUCCUGUUAGUUUAUCUAAUUCUGCAUAGUCCAUUAACUUCAUCCCACAUUUUUCAAUCGUCGGUAACUCUUCUUGCUUCCAUUUUUGGGCCAAUAAUAUUCUUGCUGCUGUUAUUGCAUAUAAAAGGAGCUUACAUUCCUUUCUAUUUAUGUCACUCCCCACAAUGCCCAAUAAAAAUGCUUCUAGUUUCUUUAUAAAUGUAUAUUUCAACAUUUUUUUCAACUCAUUAUAUAUCAUCUCCCAGAAGCAUUUCACCUUUUUACAUUCUCACCACAUGUGAUAAAAUGUUCCCUCUUUUUCUUUACAUUUCCAACCUUUAUUACUGACUUUAUACAUUUUCGCUAACUUGACAGGUGUAAUAUACCAGUUCAGCCCCUAGUGUUAGCGCAUAUUGUCCUCAUUUAAAGAAGGGUUCAGGGUGGCUAAUUGUGCAUCAUUCAGCCUGGGAGCUUAGCUGUUGUUAUUUUUAAAAUUUGCUCCUGCUUUGCUCUUGCUUAUCAAAUUUCUCCAUACAAAGUGGUGAUGAGCAUACUAUUCUUCAUCUAGCUGCUCAUGCAAAUUCUUGUCGGACUUGCCAUUCGUCUCCCAAUUCCCAAUGCAAACAGCUGCUCAACUAGCUAUUGCUUCCCUUCCCUUCCCUCUUCUGUUCAACUGGCUUUAUUUGAUCGCACCUUGCAUGAGAAGAUGUCGUUCUUCUUUUGCCUCUGAUAUGCACAAACCAUUGGAGAACUUACUCCAUUAUUCAAGGCACACAUCCAUAGAUGCACACAUGCCCCCCCCCCGCCGCCGCCACUUGCCAAUGCAUGUAACAGUGCAUAAAUAGAAAUUUUCUUUACUACUUUGCCUUUCUGCUGCUGCUUCUUUGCCUCAACUACUGCUAUAGACUGCGGUGGACAUUUAGAGCCACGGUGGAGCAAGAAGGAGCCAUUAAUUCAUUUUCUAGUUGCAUUAAAUGGGAUGGAGUAAUUGCAAACUGCCAGGGUAGCUCAUAAAAUAGAAAUGUGUAUUCAUGACUGAAAACCUGAUAAGACAAAACAGGAAAACAUAUCCCAAAUGAUAAAUGUUAUGGGGACAGACUCCAGCUUCCUCUGCUCUACAUCUUUAUUUUUCAAUUAUAAGACGUGACAAUUGAUUACAAUGUUAUCUAAUGGCUCCUUAUCAUCACCUCUGGAAUUUGAAAGGAAUAAGAAAAAUGCUUUGUCUACUUGUUCUUUAGCUGCAAAGAUAAAAGAUGUUUUAUUUCCUUUAUAGGAGCUCAUAAAAAAGAGAGGAGAUAAUUAUACCAAAUGGUUAUGUAAAUCCCAAGAGAAAAAGAAAAUCGGCUCUUGUGAAGAAUUUAAAUAAGUUUUUGAAUUCAUUGGGAGAUGCUGAAUUUUUCAUUUCAUUGUUUAUCAGUGAGGUUUGUAAAAGUUAUCCAACUGGCCUAAUGAAAUAUUAAUUUGACUUCCAUUACAUUAAAGGAGAGAGCCAUUUUUAUGUUUAAAGAAAACGG